GACGUAGGAGGCGAGCGUUGUCCGGAAUUAUUGGGCGUAAAGAGCUCGUAGGCGGUUUGUCGCGUCUGCUGUGAAAAUCCAGGGCUUAACCCUGGACCUGCAGUGGGUACGGGCAGACUGGAGUGCGGUAGGGGAGAUCGGAAUUCCUGGUGUAGCGGUGAAAUGCGCAGAUAUCAGGAGGAACACCGGUGGCGAAGGCGGAUCUCUGGGCCGUAACUGACGCUGAGACGCGAAAGCGUGGGGAGCGAACAGG
rnacentral:rRNA from 1 species